rnacentral:rRNA from 1 species
UACAGAGACUGCAAGCGUUUAUUCGGAUUCACUGGGCGUAAAGGGUGCGCAGGCGGUCGGGUGUGUCAGAUGUGAAAUCCCGAGGCUCAACCUCGGAACUGCGUCUGAAACUACUCGACUAGAGUACUGGAGAGGGAAACGGAAUUCACGGUGUAGCAGUGAAAUGCGUAGAUAUCGUGAGGAACACCAGAGGCGAAGGCGGUUUCCUGGACAGUUACUGACGCUCAGGCACGAAAGCAUGGGGAGCAAAAGGG